GGUAGGGUGGCUGAGUUAAGCGGUGGGUUGUAGCCCCAUAGACGGAGGUUUGAAUCCUCUCCCUGUCA
rnacentral:tRNA from 1 species